GCGCACGAGUUCAGACUCGUGGCGAAUAGCUCAGUAACACGUGGCCAAACUAGCCUUCGGAACACAAUACCCUCGGGAAACUGACGCUAAUAGUGUAUCCCAUACCACCACUGGAAUGAGUGGUAUGCCAAACGCUCCGGCGCCGAAGGAUGUGGCUGCGGCCGAUUAGGUAGACGGUGGGGUAACGGCCCACCGUGCCAAUAAUCGGUACGGGUCAUGAGAGUGAGAACCCGGAGACGGAAUCUGAGACAAGAUUCCGGGCCCUACGGGGCGCAGCAGGCGCGAAACCUUUACACUGCACGACAGUGCGAUAGGGGGAUCCCAAUGUGCACAGGCAUAGCGCCUGUGCUUUUCGGUACCCUAAGGCGGUACCAGAAUAAGGGCUGGGCAAGACCGGUGCCAGCCGUCGCGGUAAUACCGGCAGCCCAAGUGAUGGCCGAUCUUAUUGGGCCUAAAGCGUCCGUAGCUUGGCCGCGCAAGUCCAUUGGGAAAUCCACCUGCUCAACAGGUUUUCGCCCGGUAGAAACUGCGUGGCUUGGGACGUGAAGGC
rnacentral:rRNA from 1 species